rnacentral:miRNA from 1 species
GAUGAAGGAAUUUGUGUUCAU